UUUCCGUAGGUGAACCUGCGGAAGGAUCACUAGUGAUUAAAUCGAGAGCGUCUUCAUUGACCUCUCACCCUUCACAUCCACAUACACCUGUGCGCCGUUUGGCUCUUAUAAAAGACGCAAGUCUGCAAUGAGAGUCAUCAAUUUUAUACAUACCCCAGUCUUAUGAAUGUAACAGUUUUAAUAAACAUAAUAAAACUUUUAACAACGGAUCUCUUGGUUCUC
rnacentral:misc_RNA from 1 species